AUUGAACGCUGGCGGCAGGCUUAACACAUGCAAGUCGAGCGGUAACAGAGAGAAGCUUGCUUCUCUGCUGACGAGCGGCGGACGGGUGAGUAAUGCCUAGGAAUCUGCCUAGUAGUGGGGGAUAACUUGCCGAAAGGUAAGCUAAUACCGCAUACGUCCUAUGGGAGAAAGGAGGGGACCUUCGGGCCUUUCGCUAUUAGAUGAGCCUAGGUCGGAUUAGUUAGUUGGUGAGGUAAUGGCUCACCAAGACCGCGAUCCGUAACUGGUCUGAGAGGAUGAUCAGUCACACUGGAACUGAGACACGGUCCAGACUCCUACGGGAGGCAGCAGUGGGGAAUAUUGGACAAUGGGGGGAACCCUGAUCCAGCCAUGCCGCGUGUGUGAAGAAGGUCUUAGGAUUGUAAAGCACUUUAAGUUGGGAGGAAGAGCAGUUAACUAAUAUUUGACUGUUUUGACGUUACCGACAGAAUAAGCACCGGCUAACUCCGUGCCAGCCGCCGCGGUAA
rnacentral:rRNA from 1 species